rnacentral:tRNA from 1 species
CCUCUUAUAGCUUAAUGGCUAAAGCAUUGGUACGUAAAGCCAAAAGUACCGGGUUCAAUUCCCGGCGAGGGUG